rnacentral:lncRNA from 1 species
CAUUUUACCCUAUGAUCCUUGUUUUUACACUGACACCUUAUCCCUUAGCUUAUCAAUAAAUUCUUGAUUAUCAACCAUACAAGGUAUGUCACUAGUUGUCAUUCAGCAGCAGAAUAUUCUGCAUACAAAGUCCUUUCUAAGUGUCAGAUUAGAUCUGUACUUAAACAAACAACCUCAGUCUAGAAUUUCCAAUCUAGUUUUCAGCUUGGUUUCUAACCACAGUCAUAGAAAACUAUAUCUUGGUGGGACAAAAAUGGUACCUAUUAAUAAAAUCAGGCACAGUUUCUAUCCCGUUGAAUGUCAACAAGGCUUGCCUGAUGAAGAUGAAGAUGAUGAUGAUGAUGAUGAUGAUGUCUGUCCUGUUGAAUGUGUGAG